rnacentral:snRNA from 1 species
ACAUUUGAGGAAGAUCUGGCUGUGACAUUUGUCACCCCACUGAUGGCCAGGGUUGGUUCGCAGGCCUGGAUGGCUAAGUAGAUGUCCCUUUCUUCCCUUACUGCUUUGAAUGCGUCCCUGCGGAAGCUGCAGUACCCAGAAGAGGAGUACCAAUCUUCAGUCAAGGGUAUAUAAGUAGUUGUACUCUCCUACUAGACCUUCCAAGCAAACUCUCAAGAAUACAUUUCUGUUGUUCGGAACAAUUCACCUCAGCAUUUCUGGCCCAUUCACUUAAGU